GACAAACGCUGCGCUUUGCGUCUUACACAUGCGAGUCGAACGGAAAGGCCCUUUUCGCAUGUACUCGAGUGGCGAACGGGUGAGUUACACGUGGGUGAUCUGCCCUGCACUCUGGGAUAAGCCGGGGAAACGGGGUUUAAUACCGGAUAGGACCGCACUUUAUUGUGGGGGGGGGAAAGUUUUUUCGGUGUAGGAGGAGCCCCCGCCCUAUCACCUUGUGGGGGGGGGAAUGGCCUACCAAGGCGCCGACGGGUACCCGGACUGAAAGGUAGGCCGGCCACUUUGGGACUGAGAUACGGCCCACACUCCUACGGGAGGUGGCGGGGGGAAAUAUGGCACAGUGGGCGCAGCCCUGAUGAACCAACUCCCCGUGGGGAAGGACGGCCUUCGGGUUAUACACUCCUUGCCCCGGGGAGAAAGGGUUUUGUCACUGUACCUGGAGAAGAAGCACCGGGCUGAUUACGUCCCAUCAGCCGCGGUAAUACGUAGGUCCCGAGCGUGUCCGGGAUUAUGGGGGCGUAAAGCGAGCGCAGGCGGUUUGAUAAGUCUGAAGUAAAAGGCUGUGGCUCAACCAUAGUUCGCUUUGGAAACUGUCAAACUUGAGUGCAGAGGGGGAGAGUGGAAUUCCAUGUGUAGCGGUGAAAUGCGUAGAUAUAUGGAGGAACACCGGUGGCGAAAGCGGCUCUCUGGUCUGUAACUGACGCUGAGGCUCGAAAGCGUGGGGAGCGAACAGGAUUAGAUACCCUGGUAGUCCACGCCGUAAACGAUGAGUGCUAGGUGUUGGAUCCUUUCCGGGAUUCAGUGCCGCAGCUAACGCAUUAAGCACUCCGCCUGGGGAGUACGACCGCAAGGUUGAAACUCAAAGGAAUUGACGGGGGCCCGCACAAGCGGUGGAGCAUGUGGUUUAAUUCGAAGCAACGCGAAGAACCUUACCAGGUCUUGACAUCCCGAUGCUAUUUCUAGAGAUAGAAAGUUACUUCGGUACAUCGGUGACAGGUGGUGCAUGGUUGUCGUCAGCUCGUGUCGUGAGAUGUUGGGUUAAGUCCCGCAACGAGCGCAACCCCUAUUGUUAGUUGCCAUCAUUCAGUUGGGCACUCUAGCGAGACUGCCGGUAAUAAACCGGAGGAAGGUGGGGAUGACGUCAAAUCAUCAUGCCCCUUAUGACCUGGGCUACACACGUGCUACAAUGGUUGGUACAACGAGUUGCGAGUCGGUGACGGCAAGCUAAUCUCUUAAAGCCAAUCUCAGUUCGGAUUGUAGGCUGCAACUCGCCUACAUGAAGUCGGAAUCGCUAGUAAUCGCGGAUCAGCACGCCGCGGUGAAUACGUUCCCGGGCCU
rnacentral:rRNA from 1 species